rnacentral:rRNA from 1 species
UACGGAGGGUGCAAGCGUUGUCCGGAUUUAUUGGGUUUAAAGGGUGCGUAGGCGGGCAUAUAAGUCAGUGGUGAAAUUCCGGGGCUCAACUUCGGAUGUGCCAUUGAUACUGUAAGUCUUGAGACGAGUCGAGGUAGCUGGAAUGUGUAGUGUAGCGGUGAAAUGCACAGAUAUUACACAGAACACCAAUUGCGAAGGCAAGUUACUAGGCUCGGACUGACGCUGAGGCACGAAAGUGUGGGGAGCAAACAGG